AUACGGAGGAUGCAAGCGUUAUCCGGAUUUAUUGGGUUUAAAGGGUGCGUAGGCGGAUGAUUAAGCGUGAGGUGAAAUGCCACUGCUCAACAGUGGAACUGCCUCGCGAACUGGUUGUCUUGAAUGUUCCUGCCGUGGGAGGAAUGUGUGGUGUAGCGGUGAAAUGCAUAGAGAUCACACAGAACACCGAUCGCGAAGGCAUCUCACGAAGGGGUGAUUGACGCUGAGGCACGAAAGCGUGGGGAUCAAACAGGAUUAGAUACCCUGGUAGUCCACGCAGUAAACGAUGAUAACUAACCGCUGGGUCGUAGUGAUUCAGUGGCCAAGCGAAAGCGAUAAGUUAUCCACCUGGGGAGUACGACCGCAAGGUUGAAACUCAAAGGAAUUGACGGGG
rnacentral:rRNA from 1 species